AAAUUUUGCCCUCCCCUUUGAUUUUUUUUAAAGGGCCGCGAUACUUUGAUCGUGCAAAGGUAGCAUAAUAAUUAGUUUUUUAAUUGAGAACUGGUAUGAAUGGUUGGACGAGGAAAAGGCUGUCUCAAUUUAAUUUAAUUAGAAUUUUAUUUUUAAGUAAAAAAGCUUAAAUGUUUUUAAAAGACGAGAAGACCCUAUAGAGUUUUAUAUAAAAUUAAUUUUUGGCGUAAAAGAAUUUAAAGUUAAAAAAAUUAAUUUUGUAUUUGGUUGGGGUGACUAAAAAAUUUAAUGAAAUUUUUUUUAAAAUAAACCAUUGAUUUAUGAAU
rnacentral:rRNA from 1 species